CCUUAGUAACUGCGAGUGAAGCGGCAAGAGCUCAAAUUUGAAAUCUGGCACCUUCGGUGUCCGAGUUGUAAUUUGUAGAAGCAUCUUUUGGAUUGGUCCUUGCAUAUGUUCCUUGGAACAGGACAUCAUAGAGGGUGAGAAUCCCGUUCAUGGUGGGGAAUCCAAUUCUUUGUAAAGUGCUUUCGAAGAGUCGAGUUGUUUGGGAAUGCAGCUCUAAGUGGGUGGUAAAUUCCAUCUAAAGCUAAAUAUUGGCGAGAGACCGAUAGCGAACAAGUACAGUGAUGGAAAGAUGAAAAGAACUCCGAAAGGAGAGUGAAAAAGGACGUGAAAUUGUUGAAAGGGAAGUGCUUGAGAUCAGUCUUAAGGUUUAGUGAUCAGUCUUCCUUUUGGUUGGUGCACUCACUAUUUCUUAGGCCAACAUCAGUUUUCGCGGCAGGAUAAUGACAUUGGAAUGUGGCUCUUUCGGGAGUGUUAUAGCCUUUGUUGAUACUGCCUGCUUAGACUGAGGACCGCGCUUUUGCUAGGAUGUUGGCAUAAUGAUCUUAAGCAGC
rnacentral:rRNA from 1 species